rnacentral:rRNA from 1 species
CCUACGGGGUGCAGCAGUGAGGAAUAUUGGUCAAUGGGCGGAAGCCUGAACCAGCCAAGUAGCGUGCAGGAUGACGGCCCUACGGGUUGUAAACUGCUUUUAUACGGGAAUAACGCGCCUUACGUGUAGGGCUUUGCAUGUACCGUAUGAAUAAGGACCGGCUAAUUCCGUGCCAGCAGCCGCGGUAAUACGGAAGGUCCGGGCGUUAUCCGGAUUUAAUGGGGUUAAAGGGAGCGUAGGCCGCAUGUCAAGCGUGCUGUGAAAUGUCCGGGCUCAACCCGGGCCUUGCAGCGCGAACUGGCGUGCUUGAGUCCGCGGAAAGCAGGCGGAAUUCGUCGUGUAGCGGUGAAAUGCUUAGAUAUGACGAAGAACCCCGAUUGCGAAGGCAGCUUGCUGCAGCGGAACUGACGCUGAUGCUCGAAAGCGCGGGUAUCGAACAGGAUUAGAUACCCCAGUAGUC